rnacentral:lncRNA from 1 species
UGGUGUGGAGGCUUUGUUCUUUUGUUCUUUGUGAUAGAUCUAAUUGCUGCUCACUCUUUGGGUCUGUACUGCGUUUAUGAGCUGUGACACUCGCCGUGAAGGUCUGCAGCUUCACUCCUGAACCAGCGAGAGGAGGAACCCACCAGAAGGAGGAAAACGCGGAACACAUCUGAAUAUCAGAAGGAACAAACUCCAGACACGCCGCCUUUAAGAACUGUAACAGUCACCGCGAGGGUCCGUGGUUUCAUUCUUGAAGUAAGUGAGACCAAGAACCUGCCAAUUUCAGACACAAUGGAGAGCGCCAGUCCUGCUGCGGGGCCAUACAUCUAUUUAAUUUCCUCUCAUCUUCCCCCCGGUUCCGAGAGGAAGGUGCUUUCACCUGCACUGUUCCCAUGAGGAAACGAGGCUUCAGGAAUCUGAUAAAGCUUCCAAACUCCCGUGGCUGGCAGGAACCAAGGUUUCGAUGGCCGGACUUCUCAGCCCCCCAGGUGGAAAAGCAGGAGGCAUGACAGAUGAGGGUGAGAGUGCAUGCCAGGUCAGGCUGAGAAGGCGACAAUGCCAUAUGGUUUUUUCCACUUAGCUUAGCUCCAGGAUGACUUUGAACAGUGUUACAGCCCCAUGGGCAGAAAAUUGCACUUGCCUCAAGCUUCAUUAAAGCAAAUCGAGUCAGAAGGGAUUGAAACACCUGGAAGAAAUGCAAUGGAUUCAAACAGGGAAAAGGUGUGGGUCCGUCCCUUUUCCUGGUAAAUCCAGCAGCCUAGGAGAUGUCAGAAAAACAUUCCAAGGUUCCUGGACUUUUAAAGAGGCUAAGGAUGGGGCCUGCCAGGUACAGGAUGGCCCAUGCAGGUGGAGAUGCAGCCACAGGAUACCUGGGAUUCAUUGCAGCCUCGUCACUUACCAGUGUUGGCACUGUAUCGGUUAUCCCGAAUUUAACAGCCUAAAGCCACAUUCGUCAUCUUAUACUCUGUGGGGGUAGGGAAUCCAGGAGUGGAUUCACCAGGAGGUUCUGGCUGGGUGUCUCCCCGGAGCCGCAGGCGAGUGUGGGCCGUGGCAGCCAUCCCUGUUUCCAAGUGCACCAUGUGGCAGUUGGCUUGAGGCUCCAGGUCCUUGAGGUGCAGGCUUCCCCACGGGGCUGCUCGCGGCAUGGCUUCCUCACCCAGAGUGAUGGAUCCGAGAGAGAGCAGCCAAACUGAAAGCCACAGCCUUUUGUAAGCAAACCUCAGAAGUGACAUCUCGUCACAUCUGCCAUAUUCUACUGGUCGCACAGACCUAUCCUGCUACAUGGAAGGAGCAGCAGGAAGGUGGUGGGGAUUGCUGGGACCAUCUUGGAGGCUGCCACAGACAUCCAAGCCCCUCCAGGCAGGACAAACCAGGAUGAGAGGACAGUGUCGGGUGUAGCUGCCACCACCCAGUGUCGUCCAAGGAAAAUGGAGCAACCACAUCCUGCAUGGCAACACCAGGUGGCCAAGCCAGAUCGUGUGACCACUCGACGCUUCCCACCCACAGCAAAGAGGUUGGGCUCGAAGCGCAGCAGCAGGUCGGUGAGGGUGCGGAAGUUCUCCCAGGCCUUGCUGUCCUGGAACACCUUGAGGGUGCAGAUCACCAUGGAGAUGAAGGACAGGUAGAAGAUGACCAGCGGGAUGAAGAAGGCGAAGAAGUCGAUGGUGAGGUUGCUGACGAUGAAGAAGAAGAUGAGCGCGUUGAUGUGGUGCGUGGGGAUGAUGGUGGACAGCCAGUGCAUGCCUGCCCUGGAGGCCAUGUCAAUCAGGUACUCCUUGAUCUCCAUGAUGGCGUGCAGGGGGUACUUGACCACCUGGGGGAAAGAUGGUACGUGGGAACGAGGCUGGGACAGGACCCCCACUGCUCCCAUCUCACGCCUCCCUCUGACCACCCUGCCUCUGGGCAAAAGGAACCCGCACCCUUGCGUUUUCCCAUCACCAGCCCCAUCCUAGUGGUCCUCCCUCCCCCCUUCUCCAGGUGGCCCUCCCCAUGCUCGCGGUCCCUGUGAGCCCUCCCUCUUCUGGGCCUGGAGCCCCCCUCUGCCCCGUGCCUGGCUCCCCACCUUCUACCAGCGUGACUAGAUGCAUGUGUGCUUCUCUCCCUGCAAGACCUCCAGCACUGGAGGGACCCACGGGCUCCCCACUUCCCUCCCCUCAGGGUCACCCACAUGAAGAGAUGACGGAGCCCUGAGAUGCCUGUCUGGGAGCUGGUUUUGUGACCCAGCUCUGCACUACAGCAAGGAUGUCACCUCCCUGAGCCUCCAUGAAGGGAAAUGGCGAUCCUUACGAGGAGGAGAAGCCGCAGGCAGUCCCCGGAGGGGUGGCAGAGCAAGCAUUAGGGAAAGGGAGUUCAGUGCAGACACAGGCAGAGGGCCCAGCACCACUCUCCCAGCAAAAAUACCGUUCAGCUGCACGGGGCUGCCGGGUGAGCUGCCCUCCCUAUGGCCGGAGACCCUGAGAAGCAGCUGCCAGGCCACCUUCUGCCCGUACACACACGUGCACACACACACACGCAACCCACCCCUACACACACGCAUUCACACAAACCCACCCCAUACACACACACACAACCCACCCCUACACACACACAUGCAGCCCACCCCUACACACACGCAUUCACACAACCCACCCCUAUACACAUUCACACACACGCAACCUACCCGCAUUCAAACAACCCACCCCUACACACACAUUCACACACACGCAACCCACCCCUACACACACACACGCAACCUACCCGCAUUCACACAACCCACCCCUACACACACAUUCACACACACGCAACCUACCCGCAAACAACCCACCCCUACACACACAUUCACACACACGCAACCCACCCCUACACACACACGCAACCUACCUGCAUUCAAACCCACCCCUACACACACAUUCACACACACGCAACCCACCCCUACACACACAUUCACACAACCCACCCCUAUACACAUUCACACACACGCAACCCACCCCUACACACACGUGCACACCCACCCCCACACGUGCACCCUCACACAUGCACACCCACCCCUACACGUGUGCACCUACACAUACACACCAGCGCACCCCUACCUCCCCAUAGUCAAGGCCAAAGGCUGCCUUCCCCCGACCUGUGGGUCCUGCUCCCCUGCUCUGCAUGCAGCGCUAAGGUCAGAAAGAGCUCUUGGCCUUCACCACAGCCAAGAGGAGCAGAGGGCUGAGGGAGGCAUGCUGGGAGCAGCCUCAGGAUGGGGUGAAGCAGCGCUGCCACCCAGGGCCAGCCCUCAUGCCUUCCUGGUCUGUGCAGAACUCAGAGGCCCUGAGCCCUGCCAGAACACAGGGCAGCCAGGCAGAGGGACUGGAGGGGAUGGGGGACAAAGUGGCCAUGGUGCCAGUGCUCACACAGCAUGGCGUGGCAUACAAAGCAGGUUCUGUGCAUCUUCAGAAGUGCCAGGGGCCUGGACCAACACCAGGAAGUGGACGCCUAGGGGGCGGCCCCACAUGGGGGUAGGGAAGCCUGGCUGCAUGUCCAGGGCCCACUGAGGGGCUACAUGACACAUCCAGGCUGGAGCCCCCCAUCAGCUCCGGGCCUCGGGGAAGCACCAGACCCCACAAAUCCCCUGGGGCAGGUUCUCUCCACCAGGCCCACCAGAAGGCCAAGGAGGGAUCCCAGGUGAAUGGCAACUAGGUGACAACACCAGAAUGUGGCCCUCACCUGCCAACAGCCUGGCUAUCAGCUCUGGAGGACCAGGACACCUGGAAACAACCAGAAGACUGAGUCUUCCACAGAUGAGAGGAGAGGGGCAGGCUCAUGGAGGAAACGGAAGUGUUAUGAGUGUGUGCAUGCAUGUCUACACAGACUGAGCCUUCCACAGAUGAGAAGGACAGGCUCAUGGAAGAAACGGAAGUGUUUAGGAGUGUGUGCAUGCACGUCUACACGUGGGGGAACAGCUCUGCUGCUUCAUGUAUAUUUGUGACAGUCCACUUAAUCUCUGUUUUAUAACAAGCAAAUAAACGAUUAAAGCAGCUAACAGCUCCCCUAGCUCUCUCUGGGGUCAACAACCUUCUACAUGAGCAGAGAGGCGCUCACACUGCCAGGAGAUGGCCAGGGAAGACCAGGCACUACAGGGUUUGAGGGCAUUUCCAACGCUUGCCAGAGAGCCAGAGGGCAUUUAUGAAAACCAACCUACUCCAGGGUUUGUUUGGGGCAAGCCCCUGUAGUAUGACGCCAGGCCAGCUGGCUAAAAUCAACAGCUACACGAGUCAACAUGUGCGUCAGCCGGCAGGCUGCUCAGUUAAUCCCCGUAUGGGGGCCUUGCGAACAGCAGGACAACUAAAGGUGGCCUGGCCCGCCACUGCUCACCACCAGUUUCACGCACGACCGCCACGGUAGCAAGGGGGUGGCCUUGGUAAAAAUAAAUCUGAAAUCCUGUCUUACUCAAAGCCAUGCACAUUCUUUUGCCUAGAACACACACAACCACCUGGUUGAGAGGGCCUUUAAAAGACAAGGAAUAUUCUAGAACAUUACGUUGGAUGGCGUCUAGCCUCUGCUUGGACAGUGUGGAGGGGCUGGUCCCCCACCUGAACUCGAUGACCAGGGAACGAUCCCCUUUUUAAAGCCCCAAUUUCUGCUCCCUGCAAUGUA